rnacentral:rRNA from 1 species
CGGGUGAGUAAUACAUAAGUAACCUGCCCUAGACAGGGGGAUAACUAUUGGAAACGAUAGCUAAGACCGCAUAGGUACGGACACUGCAUGGUGACCGUAUUAAAAGUGCCUCAAAGCACUGGUAGAGGAUGGACUUAUGGCGCAUUACCUGGUUGGCGGGGUAACGGCCCACCAAGGCGACGAUGCGUAGCCGACCUGAGAGGGUGACCGGCCACACUGGGACUGAGACACGGCCCAGACUCCUACGGGAGGCAGCAUG